AUUGAACGCUGGCGGCAGGCCUAACACAUGCAAGUCGAACGGUAACAGGAAGCAGCUUGCUGCUUCGCUGACGAGUGGCGGACGGGUGAGUAAUGUCUGGGAAGCUGCCUGAUGGAGGGGGAUAACUACUGGAAACGGUAGCUAAUACCGCAUAAUGUCGCAAGACCAAAGAGGGGGACCCUCGGGCCUCUUGCCAUCGGAUGUGCCCAGAUGGGAUUAGCUUGUUGGUGGGGUAACGGCUCACCAAGGCGACGAUCCCUAGCUGGUCUGAGAGGAUGACCAGCCACACUGGAACUGAGACACGGUCCAGACUCCUACGGGAGGCAGCAGUGGGGAAUAUUGCACAAUGGGCGCAAGCCUGAUGCAGCCAUGCCGCGUGUAUGAAGAAGGCCUUCGGGUUGUAAAGUACUUUCAGCGGGGAGGAAGGGAGUAAAGUUAAUACCUUUGCUCAUUGACGUUACCCGCAGAAGAAGCACCGGCUAACUCCGUG
rnacentral:rRNA from 1 species